rnacentral:rRNA from 1 species
CAUGCAAGUCGAACGGUAACAGCAGAGCUUGCUCUGGCUGACGAGUGGCGGACGGGUGCGUAACGCGUGGGAAUUUACCUUGUAUGGGGGAUAGCCCGGAGAAAUCCGGAUUAAUACCGCAUAAUCUCUACGGAGCAAAGUGGGGGAUCUUCGGACCUCACGCUAUUAGAUGAGCCCGCGUUAGAUUAGCUUGUUGGUGAGGUAAUGGCUCACCAAGGCAACGAUCUAUAGCUGGGUUUGAGAGGAUGAUCAGCCACACUGGGACUGAGACACGGCCCAGACUCCUACGGGAGGCAGCAGUGGGGAAUAUUGGACAAUGGGCGCAAGCCUGAUCCAGCAAUACCGCGUGUGUGAAGAAGGCCUGAGGGUUGUAAAGCACUUUCAAUAGGGACGAAAAGCUCAGAGUUAAUAACCCUGAGUCUUGACUUAACCUAUACAAGAAGCACCGGCUAACUCCGUG